rnacentral:rRNA from 1 species
UACGUAGGGUGCAAGCGUUUAUCCGGAAUUAUUGGGCGUAAAGAGCUCGUAGGCGGUUUGUCGCGUCUGCUGUGAAAACCCGAGGCUCAACCUCGGGCCUGCAGUGGGUACGGGCAAACUAGAGUGCGGUAGGGGAGAUUGGAAUUCCUGGUGUAGCGGUGGAAUGCGCAGAUAUCAGGAGGAACACCGAUGGCGAAGGCAGAUCUCUGGGCCGUAACUGACGCUGAGGAGCGAAAGCAUGGGGAGCGAACAGG